AUUGAACGCUGGCGGCAGGCCUAACACAUGCAAGUCGAACGAGUGGCGGACGGGUGAGUAAUGUCUGGGAAACUGCCUGCUGGAGGGGGAUAACUGCUGAAAACGGUAGCUAAUACCGCAUACAAUCGGUUGUUCCCAGAUGGGCUUAGCUAGUUGGUGGGUUAAAGGCUCACCUAGGCUAAGAUCCCUAGCUGGUCUGAGAGGAUGACCAGCAACACUGGAACGGGGACACGGUCCAGACUCCUACGGGGGGAAGCAGUGGGGAAUAUUGCAAAAGGGGGGAAAGCCUGAUGCAGCCAUGCCGCGGGUAUGAAGAAGGCCUUCGGGUUGUAAAGUACUUUCAGCGGGGAGGCGUUACCCGAAGAAGAAGCACCGGCUAACUCCGUGCCAGCCGCCGCGGUAAUAC
rnacentral:rRNA from 1 species